UAAAAGAAAUAAAUAUUAAUUCAUUUUUGCUUGGGCACUACGAACACAUGUUUAAAACCCAAAGAACUUGGCGGUACUUUAACCCACUUAGGGGAACCUGUCCUUUAAUUCGAUAAUCCACGACAAUCUUAUUUAUUUUAGAACACUUCAGCUUGUAUACNGUCGUCAUAAGUUAACCUUAAAAAGAAAAAAAGUUAACAACAAAGAUAAAAUUUAAUAAUUUUCUCCUAGGUCAGAUCAAGGUGCAGCUAAUAAAUAAAGAGGAGAUGGGUUACAAUUGAUAAAUUUCAAAUGGAAUUUUUAAAGAAAAUAAAAACGAAAUAGGACUUAAAAGUAAUUUUAUGAUAACAAACAUUAAUGAAUAAGGAAAUAAAGUGUGC
rnacentral:rRNA from 1 species